CCUACCCCCAAGUGAGGAAUACCGGCGAGAAAUCGCCGACAAGACCGCAUACGCUCUCUCUUUCACCAGAGAGAGAGAGCAAAGCUUCGCAAGAGGCGCUUGAGGAUGGGCCUGUGGCCGAUUAGCUAGUUGGUAGGGUAAUGGCUUACCAAGGCGACGAUCGGUAGCUGGUCUGAGAGGACGAUCAGCCACACUGGGAUUGAGAACGGCCCAG
rnacentral:rRNA from 1 species